UACAGAGGGUGCGAGCGUUAAUCGGAAUUACUGGGCGUAAAGAGUGCGCAGGCGGUUCGCCAAGUCAGGUGUGAAAUCCCCGGGCUUAACCUGGGAAUUGCGCUUGAAACUAGCGAGCUUGAGUGUGGCAGAGGGGGGUGGAAUUCCACGUGUAGCAGUGAAAUGCGUAGAGAUGUGGAGGAACACCGAUGGCGAAGGCAGCCCCCUGGGUCAACACUGACGCUCAUGCACGAAAGCGUGGGGAGCAAACAGG
rnacentral:rRNA from 1 species